UUUUUUUUUGGCAUUUCUUGGGUUGCUCCUGCGGCAUAUGGAGGUUCCCAGGUGAGGCCCUAGAAAAGACAAAAAACAAAACAAAACAAAAUAAAAAAACAAACCGUAUAUACACACCCAACAGACAUCUGGAUCUGUGAACGUGGAACCUGCAGAUACCAAGGGCUGACUCUACUACCCAUUUUAUAUAAGGGUCUUGAGCAUCAGUGUAUUUUGAUAUCCGCAGAGGUCCUGGAACCAAUCCUCCACAAAUGCUGAAGACUGACUAUACUAGAGAAUAUAGUAGGUAUGUACUAUGAUGUGCUAGAAGGAAAUCGGGGAAAAAAUAUAAAGGGGGAUUGUUAUUAAUAACAAUCUUGCUAGUUUUACAACUACGGCAUGAAGUUGUAACUACUUCAGGUCAUGCUAGUAAUAUCAGUUUUUCUUAGUGACUCAGUCAAUGCUGCUUCUGGACUUAUAGUCAUCUUAUUCCUUUCCCCUUCCCCCCAUUUCUUAUUUAAGUGUCCAAACUCUGGUCUCUCUAAACUUGGCAAUGAGGAGCAAGGGCUUCAGAGAAGGAAUCACAUCCCCCAUCUCCCGCUCUUGUCUUCUGAAAAAGUCCUGAGAAGGGGCACGGCCACAGCUUCUGAGCAGCUUCUCGGUUUACUUGUAUCUUCACAAAACUGUUUUUAAAUAAUCCGCCCUCUGAUUAGUGCAUCUGCUCUACUCUGGUGAUUCAUGGUUUUGUCACUGGGUGGCUGCAAGGCUACAAUUUUAAAAGCCAUGUGAAUUGGGUUUCCAGCUUUAGCAAAUCAAAAGGCAGGCAGGAUGCCCAAUUAAACUUGAUGUUCGGAUAAGCAAAAAAAUUGUUAGCAUAAGUAUGCUUCAAUAUUUGGGACAUUUAUACUUAAUUUUUUCAUCAAAUAAUGAUAUUGCAUCCAGUAACCCUACAUGUGAACAUUUUGAGAACUACAUUAAUGAUUUAUCACAGGAGCGGGGAUAUCAGGUUUUGAUUCAUUCAGAAAGUAGAGUAAUUGCUUCCAAGUAACAGUACUUACAGCCAGGCUAAUGUGCAUGAGAGCAAAAUUUUCCAGGGCUGCAUGAAUUGUAACAGAGAGCUAGUCCCCCACCUAUUUCAGGGGUUCGGAUCAACCUACAACAGCUUUUAGCUUCGCCCAGCCCACUGGGUGCUGACUCAUUCCCCUAGGCAUCAUGAGGAAUUUAUCUGAACACCUAGUAAAGACAGAUGGUGUCAUGAGACAUUUGACAAAGAGAAAAAAUGUGCUGGAAUUCAAUGACUAUGCUCCCACUCUUUAAACUCCUUGCCAGAUAUUAAUGAAAUUUAUUCUAAAACCUUCUACAGGAGGUGCAUUCAUUCGCUAGGCUACCAUCACAAAGCACCACAAACUAGGUGGGUUAAACAACAGACACUUCUUCUCUCACAGCCUUGGAGGCCAGAAACCUGAAAUCAAGGUGUUGGCAAGGUUGGUUCCUUCUGAGGGCUGUGAGAAUGUCGCUUGCUGGCAAUCUUUGGAGUUUCUUUGCUUGUAGAAACAUCACCCUGGAGUUCCCGUCAUGGUGCAGUGGAAACGAAUCCAACUAGGAACCAUGAGAUUGCUGCUUCCAUCCCUGGCCUCGCUCAGUGGGUUAAGGAUCCAGCAUCAGCAUGAGCUGUGGUGUAGGUCGCAGACACGGCUCAGAUCUGAUAUUGCUGUGGCUGUGGCGUAGCCCGGUAGCUGUAGCUCCGAUUUGACCCCGAGCCUGGGAACUUUCAUAUGCUGCAGGUGUGGUCCUAAAAAACAACAACAAAAAGAAACAUCACCCUGACCUCUGCCUUCACAUUCAUGUGGUAUUGUGUGCGUGCGUGCGUGUGUAUGUGCGUGCACGCACAUGCAAUUUCCCCUUUGCAUAAGGAUGCAAGUCAGGGCCCCUGCCCCAGUCCAGGAAGACCUCAUCUUAACUAAUUGCAUCUGCAAUGACCCUAUUUCCAAAUGUCACAUUCUGAAAUAUUAGGAGAUAGAACCUCAACACAUAAAUUUGGGGGGGCAUAUUUAAGGUAUGAGAAGGGGGAAAAUCUGUAAAUGUGCCAGGAAGACUGGAGAGGAGAGCCCCCCAUCAACAAGACCAUCUGGAUAGGAAACCUGACAGAGAAAACUUAGGAAGUGAGCAGUGGGAGGCUCCUGAGGCCUGGGUCCAGCCUCCAAGAGUCUAACUAUUCCAGCCUCGGGGAGAGGGCUGGUGGGGUCACAGAUGACAGCUACUCUGCACGCGAGCAUGCUGCUUUUACACAGCAUGGAAGGAGGCAGUGGCAGACAAGAAUGAAUUAUUCUGCAUGCGGUUCAGAAUCUGGUUCUGUAAAAGCAUUCCUUACUGUCCCCAGCUUUCAAGCUUCCUCCCUCUGGAGUUCCCGUCGUGGCUCAGCAGUAACAAACCCAACUAGUAUCCAUGAGGUCUCGGGUUCUAUCCCUGGCCUCCCUCAGUGGGUUAAGGAUCUGGCAUUGCCCUGAGCUGUGGUGUAGGCUGGCAGCAGCAGCUGAUUCGACCCCUUGCCGGGGAACUUCCACAUGCUGAAAGUGUGGCCCUAAAAAGCAAUACAAUAAAAUGUAUCCCAUAAAAAUUGUAAAGUGUUUGAAAUAGCUGAAAACUAGCAAAUCCAUUUCAAAAUUUUAUUCCAAGCGUUGGAAGAAAGGAUAGAGGGUCUGGCUUUGUAAAUUUAGGCCCUCUUUCAACCAGGGAUUGGUAUCAAAAAGGCCUAUGACCUGGAGACACAGUUGAAUAGUUGCUGAUCCAACACCAUAUACAUUAUUUCAACUAUCAGUAAAUCUUACCAACAGAAGCUGCUUGUCUCUGAGUUUUGCCCAAAUCCUGCUGUGUUAGGUCCACGGCUAAUAAGCAACAGACAACUGCCCAUGAGUCAAUUCUAUUCGGUUCGUUGACAUUUUUAAGAUGGAUAAGGCCUGACCCCUUCUCUUCCGAUCAUAUUGUCUGGUACAGGAAGACAAAGACAGCACAGUAAUAACCAGCACACACUGGUACUUGGAUACAACACACAGUGCUAAUUACUGUACUAAGUCUGUAGUAACCCUUUCAGUUCUCACAAAGUACUAUUGUUAUCCCCAUGUUAGCCAGGAGAAAACUGAGUUCUAGACAGGUGAGGCUACUGCCCAAGGUCACAAAACUAGUCUGUCCACUUUGCUCAUGCCUAAUCCACACUUGUGACUGUCCCUCUGAGACUCAAUAGCUCCUCUGUUGCCAUAAUAGGAAUGGCAUUAUCAAAAGAAGGGUGUGCUGGCUUUUGAGUGCUCCAAAGUGUAAGGAAAGGAAAAGCAACCCACAAGAUCCAGAGACAAAACAGAAGAGAGAGCUUUUCCAUAGGGCAAUAAAGAGUUUAAGUUGCCUGCCUUCGAUGAGACCAGUUACCCCAGUUCACACAGGCCCUAGCACUCCUGUCUUAGACUCUGCUUCAUUACUUUACAGUUAAUGGCCAGAUAUUUUUGGCCAGUGGUUCUUAGCCCUGAUUAUACAUUAGAAUCACCUGGGGAGUCUGUACAUGGACUAAUAUCCAGAAUAAAUUCCUGACUAAUUAAAAUCAGGACCCCUUAGGGAAGGAUCUAGUCAUGAGGGUUUUUAAAAUUUCCUGGUGUUUAGAACCAGUGCUAUAAGCCACUGCCUCUCAACCAGGGGCUCUUUUGCCCUCCAGGGGAUACUUGGCAAUGUCUAGAGACUCUUUUUUUGUCAUUACAAGUAGCGGCAGGUGAUGCUACUUGCCUUUAGUGGGUGGAGGCCAAGGAUGCUGCUAAAAUCCUAUAUUACAAAAGACAGCCCUCCUCCCCACAAGAAUUAUCUAGUCCAACAUGUCGAUAGUUCUGAGGCUGAGAAACACAGUGUUCUCCUUUGGUUCAAUUAAUCUAACUUGUGCACCACCUACUUGCAGGGACGAAGCAAUCAACUAAGUGGAACUGCAAGCCUCUCUGCUCCCCGCACAAAGAAAUUAAAAUCAGGUAAAGGUGGCCAAAAUUUCACCUUACAAGGUUUCCCGGGGGGAUAAUAUACUCAAUCUUGAUUGUGUCUGCACCAGCUUUUACAAAAGAACUGUGUCUGGAUCUGAGUACAGUACAUCUUCCCUAACAAUGUCCUCAGAACACAUUUUAAAUCAGGAAAUGAGGUUCCAAUGAAGCCUAAGUUAGUACAUCAUGUCUCCUCUGCCACCAACAUUACAUGCAGGGGAAGCUGCUUAGAGUGAGACCUACAGUUCUCUGCCUGGAGGGCAUCUUUUUGGCAGAAGGAUACUCAUGACCCUCACAGAGAUGCCAGCAAAGGAUCAGGGAGGUCAUACUCCCAGGAGUCAACCUUAACGAAAUGAUGGAUGGAGAGCUGGUGAAUAGGGUUCACCCUUCUUUACCCCUUGGGAAGCAGCGGAUACAUUCCAGAGUGGCUAAGUCGCUCACGGUGGGGCCUUUAGGGGUUCAUUCCCUUCACCAUCAUACACUCCCACUCUGCUCCCAGGGUCUUCUGGGAUGCUAACCCAAAUCAACUGCUUAUACCGUGCUACUCACCUCAGGUUAGGCUUCUGGGGGAAUACAAAAAUGGAACAAAUCUCACACUAUGUGACACUCUCAAAUACACAUAACACUCUGAAAAAUGAAGUGGAGAGAAAGGUACAUAGAGACAUCUGAGUCAAUAUCGGUGCAAAAAAAAAAGUCUUUAAGAAACUCUUAUUCAUGUGUUCAUAGAGUGGAGCAAAGAUACUGCAUCCACUAAACAAGAGGAUGCUACAAAAAAAGAAUGAACAGGAAUUCCACCACGGCUCAGUGGUAACGAACCCGACUAGUAUCCAGGAGGAUGCAGGUUUGAUCCCAGGCCUUGCUCAGUGGGCUUAGGAUCCAGUGUUGCUGCAAGCUGUGGUGUAGGUCACAGACGUGGCUCAGAUCUGGCAUUGCUAUGGCUGUGGUGUAGGCUGGCACCUGCAGCUCUGAUUCGACCCCUAGCCUGGGAACUUCCAUAUGCCGAGGUUUAGCCCUAAAAAUACACACACACACACACACACACACACACAUACACGAAGAACAGUGAGACCAAGAAAAUGUCCUUGGAACUGAGAGAUAGGACAGAUAAGAUUUUUUUUUAAUUCCAUAUAAGGUUUGUAGAUACAAAUCUAGUAAUUGGCCAUGAAAGUAAAUAAACAUAAAAGGAUAAUUGGAGAAAAAAAAUAACAACAAAGAGUAGUUUCUCAGUGUAUCAUUACAGAGGGUCCACCC
rnacentral:lncRNA from 1 species